UAAGAGAUUUCAGAAGAGUAAAGCCUACAUAUUCUCCAUUUCAGGCGAAAUGCUUUAGAGGAGGAACAAGAAAUGUUUUUCAGUCACAUUUAUUUACCUCCCAUCACCUAAUGCAGAAGCUCUGAUAUACUGUGGAAAGUAUCCUGACUGGUAGCAUCAUGGUUUGGUAAGGCAAUUCCAAGGAAUACAAGAGGCUGCAGAGAGUGGUGGACCCAGCCCGUCCAUCACAAGCACAGUGUUCACCUCCAUCGACAGCAUCUACAAAAGGCACUUCCUAGGAUCGCAGCAUUCAUCAUCGAGGAUUCCCACCAUCCAGGCCAUGCCCACAUCUCACUGCCAUCAGAUAGGAGAUACAGAAGCUUGAAAUCCCAUAUCAUCAUGUUGAGGUAUGUGCCAACAACCAUCAAGUCCUGGAAUCAACCUGCAAGCUAGGAUUCUACCUCUAUAAUGGAACAAUACCAUUCACCUCUGGCACCACCGUCCACUAGUUUUGUUUUCCACCAAUUUCCUGAUUCUCUUUUAGAAUGUUGUGUAUGAUUUAUGUACAUUUCAUUUUUGUGUCUGAGUUCAUAUGCCUGUGAUGCUGCUGCAAGUGUGAUUUUCCACUGUAUCUCACUGUACUCAUGCAUGCAUUGUUAGAGAAAAACAUUUUUCACACAGAGAGUGGUGAUUCUCUGGAACUCUCUGCCACAGAAGGUAGUUGAGGCCAGUUCAUUGGCUAUAUUUAAGAGGGAGUUAGAUGUGGCCCUUGUGGAUAAAGGGAUCAGGGGGUAUGGAAAGAAGGCAGGUACAGGAUACCGAGUUGGAUGAUCAGCCAUGAUCAUAUUGAAUGGCGGUGCAGGCUCGAAGGGCCGAAUGGCCUACUCCUGCACCUAUUUUCUAUGUUUCUAUGCAACGAUUUGCUCAAAUUGGACGUCUGUAAAGAAUUUGAGGCAUUACUAAAGGAGCACGAGAUGAGAUAUUGAUAACAGGAAUAUUAUUUUGGAUAAUGUACUAUUUGGAAGCUGGAUGGCAAUUGUAUUGAAAUUAAUACAAAUAAUUUGAAAGAGUUAAAACUGUGCACCAGAAAUGCAACUGAUUCAUUGCUCAACUGUUACAGUGCAAUUGCAAAUCAGCUUAGGCCCAUGUUAUCAAAUAAAUGACAAAUUAAAAAUGUUACUAACUAUA